rnacentral:rRNA from 1 species
GAGGCCUAACACAUGCAAGUCGAGCGCACCUUCGGGUGAGCGGCGGACGGGUUAGUAACGCGUGGGAAUAUGCCCAGAUCUGCGGAAUAGCCUCUGGAAACGGAGAGUAAUACCGCAUACGCCCUUCGGGGGAAAGAUUUAUCGGAUUUGGAUUAGCCCGCGUUGGAUUAGGUAGUUGGUGGGGUAAUGGCCUACCAAGCCGACGAUCCAUAGCUGGUUUGAGAGGAUGAUCAGCAACACUGGGACUGAGACACGGCCCAGACUCCUACGGGAGGCAGCAGUGGGGAAUCUUAGACAAUGGGGGAAACCCUGAUCUAGCCAUGCCGCGUGAGUGACGAAGGCCCUAGGGUCGUAAAGCUCUUUCGCCAGGGAAGAUAAUGACGGUACCUGGUAAAGAAACCCCGGCUAACUCCGUGCCAGCAGCCGCGGUAAUACGGAGGGGGUUAGCGUUGUUCGGAAUUACUGGGCGUAAAGCGCGCGUAGGCGGACUAUUAAGUUAGAGGUGAAAUCCCAGGGCUCAACCCUGGAACUGCCUUUAAUACUGGUAGUCUUGAGUUCGAGAGAGGUGAGUGGAAUUCCGAGUGUAGAGGUGAAAUUCGUAGAUAUUCGGAGGAACACCAGUGGCGAAGGCGGCUCACUGGCUCGAUACU